GAGUGAACGCUGGCGGCGUGCCUAACACAUGCAAGUCGAACGAUGAAGUAACUAGCUUGCUAGUUGCGGAUUAGUGGCGCACGGGUGAGUAACGCAUAGGUAAUGUGCCCCUUAGUGAGGGAUAGCCACUGGAAACGGUGAUUAAUACCUCAUACUCCUUCUUUGCACAAGUAAAGAUGGGAAAGUUUUUCGCUAAGGGAUCAGCCUAUGUCCUAUCAGUUAGUUGGUGAGGUAAUGGCUCACCAAGGCAAUGACGGGUAUCUGGUUUGAGAGGAUGAUCAGACACACUGGAACUGAGACACGGUCCAGACUCCUACGGGAGGCAGCAGUGAGGAAUAUUGCACAAUGGAGGAAACUCUGAUGCAGCAACGCCGCGUGGAGGAUGACGCAUUUCGGUGUGUAAACUCCUUUUAUAUGAGAAGAUUAUGACGGUAUCAUAUGAAUAAGCACCGGCUAACUCCGUG
rnacentral:rRNA from 1 species